GUGGGGAAUAUUGGGCAAUGGACGCAAGUCUGACCCAGCAACGCCGCGUGAAGGAAGAAGGCUUUCGGGUUGUAAACUUCUUUUGUCAGGGAAGAGUAGAAGACGGUACCUGACGAAUAAGCCACGGCUAACUACGUGCCAGCAGCCGCGGUAAUACGUAGGUGGCAAGCGUUGUCCGGAUUUACUGGGUGUAAAGGGCGUGCAGCCGGGCUGGCAAGUCAGAUGUGAAAUCUGGAGGCUUAACCUCCAAACUGCAUUUGAAACUGUAGGUCUUGAGUACCGGAGAGGUUAUCGGAAUUCCUUGUGUAGCGGUGAAAUGCGUAGAUAUAAGGAAGAACGCCAGUGGCGAAGGCGGAUAAAUGGACGGCAACUGACGGUGAGGCGCGAAAGCGUGGGGAGCAAACAGGAUUAGAUACCCGAGUAGUCC
rnacentral:rRNA from 1 species